UAAACCCACAUUCCCUGGAUUAAACAGCCAUUCCCAGGGUUGAACAGAAUUCCCGGGGCUAAACAGAAUUCCCUGUGUUAAACUCACAUUCCCUGUGUUAAACCCACAUUCCCAGGGUUAAACACAAUUCCAGGGUUAAACACAAUUCCAGGGUUAAACCCACAUUCCGUGGGCUCAGCAGUGCCCCUGAGCUGAGGAGCAGCUCUUGGAGCUGGGAUCCUGCAGCAAUUCCCCCAAAAGCCUGGCUGUGGAGUCCCAGUGUCCCAUUCCAGGGAAUGUCCCCUGUGUGCAGGGAAUGUCCCUUUCCAGGGAAUGUCCCCUGUGUGCAGGGAGUGUCCCAUUCCAGGGAAUGUCCCCUGUGUGCAGGGAGUGUCCCUUUCCAGGGAAUGUCCCCUGUGUGCAGGGAUUGUCCCCUGUGUGCAGGGAUUGUCCCCUGUGUCCAGGCAAUGUCCCAUUCCAGGGAAUGUCCCCUGUGUCCAGGGAAUGUCCCCUGUGUCCAGGGAGUGUCCCUUUCCAGGGAGUGUCCCCUGUGUGCAGGGAGCCCCCAGGCCUGGCUGGGGAGGUCCUGCCCUCUGUCCCUUCCCCCCAGUGGGGUGGGAGCAGGGCAGGGCAGUGUGGGCCCAUCCAGUCCCAAAAAGCAGCGCCUGGGAGCCCCGGGGUGGCAGCUCUGUGCUCCUGCAGUCCCUGUGCAAUCCCUGUCCCCACCACCGGCUUCUUUCUCUGUGCAUUGUUCUUUUGAUUCCAGUUUUAGCUACACAACGUAGAGUUGCCUUCCUUUGACUGAACGUUCGAAUGUGAAAUAUUGUAUAUUUUAAAGUAUUUACCCUAUUUAUAUACUGUAUGUUACUGUUAAAUAAAGUUAAAUUCCAUUAUCGGGGGAGGAGUUUCAUUCAGCGCUGUGGGAUGCUCCAAGCUCCCAUUCCCUCAUUCCCUGCCCCGUAGUUCUCCUUCCUAAGGGAUUUUCUGGGGAGCAGACCUGGCUGUGGCAAGGACUGGAGCUGAGCAUGAACAUUCCCUGUGGGAUUUGUGUGACCCCAGGCUCAUCCUGAUCAAUGGUGAGGGAAGUGUUGGCACUGCCCCCCCCCCCACAAAAUCAGCUCGUUUUACCUGAAGAUUUCCCUGGGAAUGUGAAAAAUCCCUGUGAGUUCCACUUGUGGCACUGCCCCCCCCCCACAAAAUCAGCUCGUUUUACCUGAAGAUUUCCCUGGGAAUGUGAAAAAUCCCUGUGAGUUCCACUUGCCAUAAGUUAUUCCUUCAUUUCAGCCCUUUCUCCUGACUUGCUGGGGGUCAGGAGGGCAGAAUCCUCUGUUUACCCAGCAAGAUGCUAUUUUUAGCUCUGGUGUUAUUUUGUCAGUUUUUUUUUUUUUUUUUUUUUUCCCCCCCCCCCCCCCCCCCCCCCCCCCCCCCCCCCCCCCCCCCCCCCCUUGGUUUUUUUUUUGACUUAUCAGCCAAGCCAAAGCAGCCCCUCAGCUGCUCUCGGGGCUUCCUGUCACUGCGUGGGCACUGCGGACAGACUCAGCCUCCGGCAGCAGCAGGGCGGGGUGGAAACCAUCGAGGUGACUGCAGCCCCAGCUCCCCACUCACAGGGGCAGCAGCGUUCAGGAUCCAGCUCGAUGUGAAGCAAGGUGAGGGCUGGCCAGUCCUCUGGGGGUAAAUCUGCCAGAGAAGGACGCUGGGGUGCUCGGGCAGCUGUGACACAGGCACUGGCACCCUGCGUGGCACAGCCCAGCCCAGUGCCAGCCCUUCUGCCAGGGCUCCCCCUGCUUCCCCCCGUCCUGUGCCAGUUCAAUUUGGUUAAACCUGGAAAAGUGCAGAUUCCCAGCGGGAAUCCUGGUGCUGGCUGUGCUCCAGCCCCAGGCAGAGCCUCAAACCCAGGCUGCCUCCCUGUGACCUGCUGUGUGAGAUCCUGAUGGGAGCCGUGAAAAAAAAAAACAACUUCAGGGGCUGAGAUUUGCCCUUUUUUAGGUCCUGCUGAGGCGUGGGAGGUUCAGAUUGGAUAUUGGGAAGGAAUUGUUCCCUGUGAGGGUGGGCAGGGGCUGGGCUGGAAUUCCCAGAGCAGCUGUGGCAGGCUGGACAGGGCUUGGAGCAGCCUGGGACCGUGGAAGGUGUGGAAAAGGAUGGAAUUGGAUCAUUCCUCAGGUGCUUUCCAACCCAAACCAGUCUGGAAUUCCAUGGUUCACCCCCCCCCCCCCCCCCCCCCCCCCCCCCCCCCCCCCCAGCUGUUGCAGGCUGGACAGGGCUUGGAGCAGCCUGGGACCGUGGAAGGUGUGGAAAAGGAUGGAAUUGGAUCAUUCCUCAGGUGCUUUCCAACCCAAACCAGUCUGGAAUUCCAUGGUUGAGCUCAGGAACAGGCUGCCCUGAGGGGGGGGGGCUAAGAAAAAAUUCAAUCUGGUGUUGUCCCUCCCCAGUUCUGCCAGGUCCCUGAGCAGGAGGGGGCUGAAGCAGCUCUGGGGGGGCUCCCAGGGGCUGUUUUGGGGUGCCAGGGAGGGCUGAGCUCGGUGCUGUGCACACAGCCUUGGGCUGAGCUGCAGUUUUGGGCUCAAGCAGAGUUUCCGUUCUGGAGGAGGGGACGGGGCCUCGUGACAUCCUGCCCUGGGAAAGGGCUGCAGGGACUGCAGAGGGCAAAGUGGGGGAGCCCCUGGAGCUCCUUCUCUGCUGGGAGAGGCUGAGCUGGAGCAGAGCUAAAUGAACAGAACAGGGAUUUAUGGAAAGCUUUCCAAGGAUUCACCUUGGGCAGAGCCAGAGCCCGGCCGUGGCUCCACCCAGGAUGGACUCAGAGUCACGAGUUUCACACUUUUAUCAGUUUGGGUCCAUUCCCACUCUGGGGUUCAGUGUCCAGUUCCAGCUGCAGGUUCUGCAGUCCCACCCUCCCACAUUCUCUCCUCCGUUCUCUCUGUUUGCACUUUUUGGGGCUGGAGCUGCAGCCUGUCCUUGGUUCUGGGGCUGGGAUUGUUUUGUGUGACUGAGCUGGGAGCAGAACCUGCUGACAUUUUAUAUCAAGUUCAGAGUCACACAAUAAUGCAGCGCAGGACCUGGAAAAUACAAAAGCUAAACCUCAAGGCAUUACUUAGCUCUCUGCAAAUACUACUGAGAGUUAAAACUGGUGCUUAACCCAGGGCUCACUCAGGGCCUCUGCUUGGGCUACAACAGAAAUGAAGCCAGUUCAGGAGUUUGGGUCCAGAUCAGGGUUGUGGGUUAAUCUUGUCAGGCUGGGGGAACAUCCUGGGCUGCUCUGCUGUGAAAUUCCACACUGUCAUAUUCUCUGCACUUUGGGCAGUGGAAUCUCUGAGCUGGGGAUCUCUGAGCUGGCUCCACUCACUGCCCCCAGCAACAAAGUCGUUUUUCAGCUGUGAUCAACCCAAAUUAAACCCAAAUUAAUAAACCCCGGCAAGCUCCAGGCACCUAGCACAGGCUCCAGCCCUUUCCUUUCCUCAGUUUAAGUUACAGCACUGAAUAAAAUCCACCUUGCAGUGGUUCCUGGGCACAAAGCUGGGCUGGGAAUCACAACAGGAACAGGAAUCACGAUGUCUUUGCUCUGUUCCUGCUUCUGCUCGGGGCAGCUUCCCUCUGCACAGGGCCUGGGCUUUCCCAGGGAGGGGGAGAUGGGGCUGGGGGCUCCCCCAGGCCUUGGGGGGACCCUGCUGUGCUGGGAGCUCAGAGCAGCUCCCACCAAUUGUGAGAUUUGGUGGAUGUAGUAAUUCUGAACAAGUUUGGGCCACAGUGACUUGUCUGAACAAGUCCAAGCCUUAGUCUGUAUUUAGUACAUUUCUAUUUUAAUUUUCCUAGUAAAGAACUGUUAUUCCUAUUCCCAUAUCUUUGCCUAAGAGCCCCUUAUUUUCAAAAUUAUAAUAAUUUGGAGAGAGGAGGUUUACAUUCUCCAUUUCAGAGAGAAGCUUCUGCCUUUAUUGGCAGAUACCUGUCCUUCAAGCCAGGACAGCUGCCUAGUUGUUUUUCUGCAUAUUUUGCUGGUUCUUCACACACUUAGCUGUUUUUCCGUAUAUUUCUUAGUUUAGACCAAUGUUUAUAACAAGUGCACAAAAUGAGCCAUUUUUAAGUGUUUUUCUACAACUUUUUAAAACCCGUUAAAGCCGCUAAAACAUAAACUGUGCUAAAUAAAAAAAAAAAAAACAAAAAAACACUAAAAAAGAAAAUGCUAAAAUUAAAAAACCCAAAAUAAAAGCAAAGUUCUAAACAACCACCAAUCCAUUUCCUGAGCUCGGGCAUGGCAGGGAUGCAAAGCUUUGGG
ensembl:lncRNA